ACAAACUAAGGAAAAGGCUUUCUUGUCUUCUGUAGGUGGCUGACCCUGUAAGUGGUCUGCUGGGAGAGCCAGAAGCCAGUAUGUGGUUCAGGUCACGCUGAAGUCAAGGUCCAGAGCAGCGAAUGAAAACUGGAGGGGCCAGAAGCCGGUCUAUAGUCAACAUUAUGCAGAUGAUCAGGUUCCAACAGAAGAUUUUUAAUGCCCAAUAGCCAGAUCAAUAAUUUGAAAAUGACAUCAUGUCCAAUGAAAGAGAAGCAGAAGAUCUUGUUCAGAUUCAAAUGUGCUAUGAUUCAGAUUUAUUAUGUAA